AGGCCGUAAACCCAAGGUUUCCAGGGGAAGGUUCGUCCGCCCUGGGUUAGUCGGGACCUAAGCUGAGGCCGAAAGGCGUAGGUGAUGGACAACAGGUUGAUAUUCCUGUACUACCGAUAACCGUUUGGGAGAAGGGAUGACACAGUAGGAUAAGCUAAGCACACUGUUGGUUAUGUGUGCCCAAGCAUUGAGGCAGUCAAAGUAGGCAAAUCCGCUUUGAUAAUGCUGGGAUGUGAUGGGGAGCGAAAUUUAGUA
rnacentral:rRNA from 1 species